rnacentral:rRNA from 1 species
UUGGAGGGCAAGUCUGGUGCCAGCAGCCGCGGUAAUUCCAGCUCCAAUAGCGUAUAUUAAAGUUGUUGCAGUUAAAAAGCUCGUAGUUGAAUUUCGAGAUCGGCUUACUGGUCGUGCUUUUGUACGUACUGGUAUAAUCGGUUUCUCCUUUCUGACGAACUUUAAUGCCAUUAAUUUGGUGUUUUAGGGAAUCAGGACUGUUACUUUGAAAAAAUUAGAGUGUUUAAAGCAGGCUCACGCUUGAAUACAUUAGCAUGGAAUAACGGAAUAGGACGUUUGAUUCUAUUUUGUUGGUUUCUAGGAUCGACGUAAUGAUUAAUAGGGAUAGUUGGGGGCAUUAGUAUUCAAUUGUCAGAGGUGAAAUUCUUGGAUUUAUUGAAGACUAACUACUGCGAAAGCAUUUGCCAAGGAUGUUUUCAUUAAUCAAGAACGAAAGUUAGGGGAUCGAAGACGAUCAGAUACCGUCGUAGUCUUAACCAUAAACUAUGCCGACUAGGGAUCGGAUGAUGUUAAUUUUUUAAUGACUCAUUCGGCGCCUUACGGGAAAC